ACGGGAGGCAGCAGUGGGGGAUAUUGCACAAUGGGGGAAACCCUGAUGCAGCGACGCCGCGUGAGUGAAGAAGUAUUUCGGUAUGUAAAGCUCUAUCAGCAGGGAAGAUAAUGACGGUACCUGACUAAGAAGCCCCGGCUAACUACGUGCCAGCAGCCGCGGUAAUACGUAGGGGGCAAGCGUUAUCCGGAUUUACUGGGUGUAAAGGGAGCGCAGACGGUUUUGCAAGUCAGAAGUGAAAUACCCGGGCCCAACCCGGGAACUGCUUUUGAAACUGUAGGACUUGAGUGCCGGAGAGGUAAGCGGAAUUCCUAGUGUAGCGGUGAAAUGCGUAGAUAUUAGGAGGAACACCAGUGGCGAAGGCGGCUUACUGGCCGGUAACUGACGUUGAGGCUCGAAAGCGUGGGUAGCAAACAGGAUUAGAUACCCUGGUA
rnacentral:rRNA from 3 species